rnacentral:rRNA from 1 species
GAUGAACGCUGGCGGCGUGCCUAAUACAUGCAAGUCGAGCGAACGGACGAGAAGCUUGCUUCUCUGAUGUUAGCGGCGGACGGGUGAGUAACACGUGGAUAACCUACCUAUAAGACUGGGAUAACUUCGGGAAACCGGAGCUAAUACCGGAUAAUAUUUUGAACCGCAUGGUUCAAAAGUGAAAGACGGUCUUGCUGUCACUUAUAGAUGGAUCCGCGCUGCAUUAGCUAGUUGGUAAGGUAACGGCUUACCAAGGCAACGAUGCAUAGCCGACCUGAGAGGGUGAUCGGCCACACUGGAACUGAGACACGGUCCAGACUCCUACGCGAGGCAGCAGUAGGGAAUCUUCCGCCAUGGGCGAAAGCCUGACGGAGCAACGCCGCGUGAGUGAUGAAGGUCUUCGGAUCGUAAAACUCUGUUAUUAGGGAAGAACAUAUGUGUAAGUAACUGUGGACAUCUUGACGGUACCUAAUCAGAAAGCCACGGCUAACUACGUG